rnacentral:misc_RNA from 1 species
GCUCACGCAAUCCUAUUGCAGCAGCAAUCUAUCGGAUCGUUUUAGAAACAUUCAGGGGCCAAUCGAUCGCAAGAUCAUUGAGCUCCAUUGGCGGGAUUUCGCCGUCUUCGUUUCUCUUUCUUCGCGGACGAACACGCGCCAGGGGCUGAGCGCUUGAGCGAUGCAUCGGCGCGAGCCGAUUGCGCGCGAGCUGGCUCCGACAUCUCGCGAGAGAUGAGCGUUAGGGGCUUGUAGCUCAGUUGGUUAGAGCGCGCGCUUGAUAAGCGUGAGGUCGGAAGUUCAAGUCUUCCCAGGCCCACCACUUUGAUCGAGUGCGGAGCAUUCGUCUUCUGGUUACGGGGCCAUAGCUCAGCUGGGAGAGCGCGUGCUUUGCAAGCAUGAGGUCGUCGGUUCGAUCCCGUCUGGCUCCACCAGAUGGAAUCGAAGAUCGAGAAUGCUCGACCAAAAUUGUCCGCGAAACAUCACUUCGCAUUGCGCGAUCCUCACCAGGAUCUGCAUUGCGUGUUUUCUGACAUCGUAAAGAGGAGAUCGAUCCGAGUUUGGAUCAAGCGAAGCAAUUCGCGUGACCCAUUCACUAUCUCCGGGAUUAUUUCGGCGCUCGCUUCAGUCGUGAGAUUGAAUGCGGGUUGUGAAUGAUCCUUUGUUAGCGAAGCUUGACCGCCUCGCUAUCGGGCCGAUCUUACGAAGCAAGCUGGUCUUUCUAGUCAAUGUCCGGCUGUUGCAAUCGCAUUCAUCGAGGAUGCGUGCCUUUAAUGGCAAUUGCGCAGACAACAUUCUGCCGAGUGUGUGGACAUUGAUAAUGAGAGCAAUCAAGUGCCUUAAGGGUGUUCGGUGGAUGCCUUGGCGCUGAGAGGCGAUGAAGGACGUGCUACGCUGCGAUAAGCCG